rnacentral:rRNA from 1 species
AUUGAACGCUGGCGGCAGGCCUAACACAUGCAAGUCGAACGGUAACAGGAAGAAGCUUGCUUCUUUGCUGACGAGUGGCGGACGGGUGUGUAAUGUCUGGGAAACUGCCUGAUGGAGGGGGAUAACUACUGGAAACGGUAUCUAAUACCGCAUAACGUCGCAAGACCAAAGAGGGGGACCUUCGGGCCUCUUGCCAUCGGAUGUGCCCAGAUGGGAUUAGCUAGUAGGUGGGGUAACGGCUCACCUAGGCGACGAUCCCUAGCUGGUCUGAGAGGAUGACCAGCCACACUGGAACUGAGACACGGUCCAGACUCCUACGGGAGGCAGCAGUGGGGAAUAUUGCACAAUGGGCGCAAGCCUGAUGCAGCCAUGCCGCGUGUAUGAAGAAGGCCUUCGGGUUGUAAAGUACUUUCAGCGGGGAGGAAGGGAGUAAAGUUAAUACCUUUGCUCAUUGACGUUACCCGCAGAAGAAGCACCGGCUAACUCCGUG